UGGAGCCUACGGGGGGCAGCAGUGGGGGAUAUUGCACAAUGGGGGAAACCCUGAUGCAGCGACGCCGCGUGUGGGAAGACGGUCCUAUGGAUUGUAAACCUCUUUAGGCGGGGAGCAAUGCCGGGCACGCGUGCCCGGAGGGAGAGUACCCGCAGAAUAAGCAUCGGCUAACUCCGUGCCAGCAGCCGCGGUGAUACGGAGGAUGCGCGCGUUAUCCGGAUUUAUUGGGUUUAAAGGGUGCGUAGGCGGAUUUUUAAGUCAGCGGUAAAAUGUCCGGGCUCAACCCGGGCCGGCCGUUGAAACUG
rnacentral:rRNA from 1 species